GACGAACGCUGGCGGCGUGCCUAAUACAUGCAAGUCGUGCGGACCUUUUAAAAGCUUGCUUUUAAAAGGUUAGCGGCGGACGGGUGAGUAACACGUGGGCAACCUGCCUGUAAGACUGGGAUAACGCCGGGAAACCGGGGCUAAUACCGGAUCGUUUUUCCUCCGCAUGGAGGAAAAAGGAAAGGCGGCUUCGGCUGCCACUUCCAGAUGGGCCCGCGGCGCAUUAGCUAGUUGGCGAGGUAACGGCCCACCAAGGCAACGAUGCGUAGCCGACCUGAGAGGGUGGUCGGCCACAUUGGGACGGAGACACGGCCCAAACGGCCACGGGGAGCGGCCGUAGGGAAACGGCCGGAAUGGGCGGAAGUCAGACCGAGCAAGGCCGCGGGAGGGAAGAAGGCCUUCGGGUCGUAAAACUCUGUUGCCGGGGAAUAACCAGCGCCGUUCGAAGAGGGCGGCGCCUUGACGGUACCCGGCCAGAAAGCCACGGCUAACUACGUG
rnacentral:rRNA from 1 species